rnacentral:rRNA from 1 species
GAUGAACGCUGGCGGCGUGCUUAACACAUGCAAGUCGAACGGGGUUUAAGAAGGAAGCUUGCUUUCAUUUUAAACCUAGUGGCGGACGGGUGAGUAACGCGUGAGGAACCUGCCCUUCAGUGGGGAACAACAACUAGAAAUGGUUGCUAAUACCGCAUAAUGUCGGAGAGCCGCAUGACAUUCCGACCAAAGGAUUUAUUCGCUGAAGGAUGGCCUCGCGUCCGAUUAGGCAGUUGGUGAGGUAACGGCCCACCAAACCUACGAUCGGUAGCCGAACUGAGAGGUUGAUCGGCCACAUUGGGACUGAGACACGGCCCAGACUCCUACGGGAGGCAGCAGUGGGGAAUAUUGGGCAAUGGGCGAAAGCCUGACCCAGCAACGCCGCGUGAAGGAUGACGGUCUUCGGAUUGUAAACUUCUUUAAUUGGGGAAGAACAAAAUG